AAUAUAUAAGGAAAUACAUUCGUAUAUUCUCGGUGAUAUGGUCUGAGAGUUUCUACUAGGAACCGGAAAUUCCUAACUACGAAUGGGG
rnacentral:ncRNA from 1 species